rnacentral:rRNA from 1 species
GACCAGACUCCUACGGGAGGCAGCAGUGGGGAAUAUUGCACAAUGGGGGAAACCCUGAUGCAGCGACGCCGCGUGAGCGAUGAAGUAUUUCGGUAUGUAAAGCUCUAUCAGCAGGGAAGAAGAUGACGGUACCUGACUAAGAAGCCCCGGCUAGCUACGUGCCAGCAGCCGCGGUAAUACGUAGGGGGCAAGCGUUAUCCGGAUUUACUGGGUGUAAAGGGAGCGUAGACGGCGAUGCAAGCCAGAUGUGAAAGCCCGGGGCUCAACCCCGGGACUGCAUUUGGAACUGUGUGGCUGGAGUGUCGGAGAGGCAGGCGGAAUUCCUAGUGUAGCGGUGAAAUGCGUAGAUAUUAGGAGGAACACCAGUGGCGAAGGCGGCCUGCUGGACGAUGACUGACGUUGAGGCUCGAAAGCGUGGGGAGCAAACAGGAUUAGAUACCCGGGUA